GGUGUGAACAGAAGAAUCAGAAAAGCUGAAGCAAGAACUUCUUUCCUCCGUGGCGGCAAAAGAAGAACUGAGGCAAAAUCACUCCUCCCCUCCCAUUACAUGACCAUUUGGGCAGGAAUUUUCCAUCUUCGAUGCUGCAGAGCAGACAAAAGCUUGUAAAUCUUUCUGUGGCAGGCCUGCAGGCCCCAAGGUGUGUCUGCAUAGAAACCCACUCAAUGACCUACAGUUACUGGAAUGGAAAUCCAAAACCCAGGAAAAAAGAGGACUUGCAGCUAAUAUCUCACUGAAAGAAUGGGUUGGUAGAGGACAUGUGGAAAAUGAGUGCCCUCAGCUGGCUCCUUGACUUCUACCCUUCAAGAAGACUAAUAGUGACACCCUCCCAUGUCUGGGAGACAAGCUCUACAAGCUUCAGGAAUAAACCUCAUCCAGCAGCAACAUUCUUCAAGAAGAGUAAUCUUGACACCCUCCCAUGUCCGGGAGACAAGCUCUACACGUUUUGGGAAUAAACCCCAUCCAGUACACCCUCCCAAAAGAAUUUUUUUAAAAACAGGUCAAACAGGACUUCAACAUACAUAAAAGGAGACCUGGGUCAAUUUUAAAAUAUACAAACUUAAAACAAUACAUAUAAGACAUACAUCCAAGGAUUUCUCACCCCUAAAGGCAGUUUAUCCAAAAUUUCACCCUCACUCAUAUGGCUGACACUAAGCAUCCCCACGCUUAGUUGCUAAAGGCAACUAAAACAAGCUUUAUAUGGGUGAAGUUCCUUGAAACAAGCUUUAUAUGGGUGAAGAGAGACCUUAACCUGAAGGCUCCAUAUCAUUUAUACAAAUGGAGAGACCUUACAAGUACAAGUUUACAUUUCAGCAACCAGAAAUACAAACAUUUCCAUGUCAUGCAAUCAGAAUAGCCAAAACUACAUUACAAAUCAGAAUCCCCUUUCUCCUGGAUCAUCUUCUUGCAGAUCUGGAACAGCACUUCAACAGUUCCAGCUCCAAGCUCCAAACAAACAGAUAGCAAAGUCCCAGGGGCAGCAGGAAAAAUUGCUCUUGAAUUCUCCAGGCAGGUUGGCAACGAGUCUCAAACAUUCACAAAAUGGACUGGCAGUCCCAUCUCUGAUUGCUUGAACAGAACCACACAAGUUGCAAAGUGUCAGGGGCAACAGGAAAAGUUACUCUGAAGUUCUCUAGGCAGGUUGGCAACCAAUCAGGUACUCUUCCUUUCUCUCCAAAUGCUCAGAACCUUCUUGAUACUCCCUCCUCCUCAGAAGAAGGUCCAUAUGGAAGAUAAUAUUUCAUCCAAGACAAACCACACAAGAUUAAAUUUGGUGAAUCAGAGAUGUUCUGCAACCGAUUCUCACCCUUUCAAUUUUGCAGAGUAGCCAAGGGUAGCAAUACUGCUGCCACCGUGUAUGAGCCCGUGCUGUCAUUCUGGCCUUUCAGUAGCUUUAUAGACCAUAUAAGAAGCAGACUACAGACUCCUGCAAUCAGUUUUGUUUUUUAUUUAGGAACAGGAGACAGAAAGUCCUCUUAGAUAAUCAGGAAGGAGCAAAUAAUUCAUAACAAAGCAAGCCUCACAGCAUACGGAGAAAAAGAACCAGCUUCUCCUCCGCACCUUCCCCUACCUUAUCUGACUUCCCUCAUUAACCCGCAGGUGGCUCCAGUCAUACCAGCCAUUACCAUUAAUCAAGCCUCAGGUGUUUUCAUUCUGAGAAAGUGAUCUUUGUUUCCUGCAGGCGAUGUUUCAACUGGUAGUGUUGUUUAAGGCCAUAAUGCAACUCUUGCAUACAACUGCAGAUAUCAUCCUUGGACUGGUUUCUUGAUCUGUGCAAAAACCAGGAGUUGUGAAAAACCUAGGGUGCCUUAUAAAAUCAAGAAACCUCCUAUUUUCCCUCAUUUUUACCACUUAGUUUUCUUUAUGUAGCUUAUCAUAUUAAAAUAGGUGAGGGGUGGAAAAAACAAGAAUCGAGUAGCACCUUAAAGACUAAUAAUAUUGCAGGCAGGGUGUGAGCUGUUGUGAGUCACAGCUCACUUCUUCAGAUAAGGGGGCAACUCUUUACAAGCACAACAGCAAAAUCCAAAAGUUCAUAUUUUAUUAUUAUCUUUUGAUGGUUGUUGUGAAUACAUCUUAAUAAUUCUUGGAUUCUGUGAUUACACUUCUCCAUAUUUGAUUAGUUUCACGGAUAUACCUUGCUUUUUUCUUAUUUAGAAUAUACAGAGCUCUUCACUUGUCUCGUUACUAUUAUAAUUCUGUCUGCUUUAACAUUUAACAUCUUCUGACAUGUUGCUGCCAUUCUCGUUGAGACUGACAGAAAGUAACCAACCAGUGCUUUCAGUUAUUCUUAACAAGACGUCCUAGGAAUAAAAUUCUGAUUUUUGUCACUUCACCCUAGCAGUGGAACUGUAAUGAAGCAAGACUCUACAAGAAAUGGCAGCAAUUAAAUUUGGUGAGAUUCUUGGGCCAAACAUGUAUCAGGCUUUUAAAAAAUUGUGCCUUAUCUUACUAAAUGGAGAUGUUAACUUCUUCAGAAGUAAUUUUAUACACAUACACUCAAGAUAAAUACAGCACACAUUUUUAAAAUAUUGGCAUUUUUGGUAAAAUAUACCUUUUAUGAUCUUGGAUUAACAGAAGCCAAUUUAAGGAUAUAACUAUAUUUAUUGAAACUAGGCAAAAUUGGCU